rnacentral:rRNA from 1 species
ACGCUCGACACCUACGGGGGGCAGCAGUGGGGAAUAUUGCACAAUGGGGGAAACCCUGAUGCAGCGACGCCGCGUGAGCGAAGAAGUAUUUCGGUAUGUAAAGCUCUAUCAGCAGGGAAGAAACUGACGGUACCUGACUAAGAAGCACCGGCUAAAUACGUGCCAGAGCCGCGGUAAUCUGAGCGGGCUGGCAAGGC